GACGAACGCUGGCGGCGUGCUUAACACAUGCAAGUCGAACGGAAAGGCCCUGCUUUUGUGGGGUGCUCGAUUGGCGAACGGGUGAGUAACACGUGAGUAACCUGCCCUUGACUUUGGGAUAACUUCAGGAAACUGGGGCUAAUACCGGAUAGGAGCUCCUGCUGCAUGGUGGGGGUUGGAAAGUUUCGGCGGUUGGGGAUGGACUCGCGGCUUAUCAGCUUGUUGGUGGGGUAGUGGCUUACCAAGGCUUUGACGGGUAGCCGGCCUGAGAGGGUUACCGGCCACAUUGGGACUGAGAUACGGCCCAGACUGCUACGGGAGGCAGCAGGGGGGAAUAUUGCACAAUGGGCGGAAGCCUGAUGCAGCAACGCCGCGUGCGGGAUGACGGCCUUCGGGUUGUAAACCGCUUUCGCCUGUGACGAAGCGUGAGUGACGGUAAUGGGUAAAGAAGCACCGGCUAACUACGUG
rnacentral:rRNA from 1 species